GACUUGAAUAGCAUCUGAUACAAAGACUACUGAUAAAGCUGCAGCGUACACAGGUCUCCAUAGCAACCAACUUACCAACAACCAAUGAACCAACCACCCACCCAACAAAACUAGGAGCUCUUAACCAGUGAUGCCUAAUCACCAAAUUCCCUGGCAGUGAAAUCUGAGUAUGUGCACCAUUUUAAAAUCUCUGAGGCAUUUUGAUGAACUGUUGCCUUAACCACACUGUUCUAUUUACAUUUCCCUGACACACCAUUCACUUUCAGACCUUACAGCCUUUGUUUGUGCCUUUCUCUUGGCAUAGAUUUUCAUUCUUUCUCACAUUUAUUCAUCUUUAAAGUGAAGUUCAAAGGUCAUGUCUUCUACAAAGCCUUUACAGAGGUAUCUCUACCUAUCCUAUUCACAAAAUAGAGCUAGCUACUAAUGUCUAUAUCUUCAGUCUGGGUGAUAAGGUAUUUAGAAUUAAGUGUAUCAAGUUUACUAUAUUUGUUACUAUUACUGAGUAACAAACCAUUUCAAAAUGCAUCAGCUUAAAACAACUAUAUCUGUCUAUCUAUCAAUCAAAUGAUAGCAGCUUAGCUGGAUGGUUCAGCCUCACAUUUGCUCAUAAAAUUGAGGUCAAGAUGUAGUCCAUUGUACCUAUCUGAAGGCUUGUCUAAGACUGGAAAAUCCACUUUCAAUAUGGCAUCCACAAAUGUCUGGCAAGUUAGUACAAGCUACUAGCAGAAGGCUUUAAUUUCUUAAGUUGUUUUGUUUAGUUUGUUUUCAGUACUAGGGAGUGAACCCAAGGCCUCACACAUGCAAGCUCUCUUCCUCUUGAGAAAUACACCAGGCCUCCUUAGUCCCUUUCCAUGUUGAUCUCAUAAUAGAGCUGAUCAAGUGUCUUUAAACAUGUUGGCUAACUUCCUCAACAAAUAAAAGAAAGAACAUAAUGAAAACUUCAAUGUCUUUUAUAAUCUAGUCCUGAAAGUCACACAUCAUUACUUCUGUAGUGUUCUUCUAUUUGUCAAUUAGACCAACCAGGGACAGGCUUUAGACUUCAAGGUAUAGGAGAAGAUAGUGCAAGGAUGUAAAUAUCAAAAGUUGAGAAUCAUUUGGAAACAUCUUGCAGGCCACCACAGUAAAUAUCUGCUCUUUUCCUUUCUAUCUUUUGUUCCUUUGCUGUUUGGGAAGCACACUUCAUGUAAAUUAAACCCUCCUAUUAGAGGGAAGGAGAACAGACAAUCUCAGCCAAGUAGCAGUUCAAACAGGCAUGUGAUCAAACAGGGACAAUCAAAAUCUCUAUUUUUACCUUCUUUUUCAUAUUAAAGAUUUAAACCAAGUCCUCCAACAUGCUAGCAAGUAUUCUACUACUUGAGCAAUGUUCCCAGCCCUUUUGUUUGUAUUUUGUUUUUGAUAAGAUUUUGCUUUUGAUAAGAUUUUGAUAAGAUUUGGCCUAUAACUUGUGAUCCUCCUGCUUCUGCCUUCUGAGUAGCUGGAUUACAAGCAUGUACCACAACACUUGGCUUAAUAUCUUCUUUGAGGAAGUGGAGCUGUGGUUCAAAUGAUAGAGUGCUGGUAUUGAGCAAAAAAAAGCUAAUAGAAAGAAUCAGGUCCCUAGUUCAACCCCCAGCACACACACACAAAUGUCUCUUUAUUUGAAUUCUUAGCAGAUAGAUUAUCUUUAUUUGUGUAAUACUUUGAGCUCUAAGAAUGAUUUAGGGACUCGAGAUUAUAGCUAACUAAACUGUUGGUUCAACUCCCAGCACCCAAAACCCAAAUCUAGACAAGAAUAAUCUAUGCUGAGAUUCUUACAACCAUUUGUUCAAGUUAUAUUGAAGAAAGAUACUUUUAGUCAAAGACAAUUAGGCUACCACACAAAGAAAGGCACAGAUGAUCAGAGGCUUU